GGAAAGUCUACAUUAUUAAAGCUACUUGCUUGGAGGAAGAUACCGGUUCCUAAAAAUAUUGAUGUUCUCUUGGUUGAACAAGAAGUGGUUGGUGACGGCAGAACUGCGCUUCAAGCAGUCGUUUCUGCUAAUGAGGAGCUGGUCAAGCUUCGGCAAGAAGUUGCAGAUUUGCAGAAUUCUGAUGGUGGUAAAGAUGAAAAUGAUGAUGAGGAUGAUGCAGGGG
rnacentral:misc_RNA from 1 species